rnacentral:rRNA from 1 species
CAAUAGCGUAUAUUAAAGCUGUUGCGGUUAAAAAGCUCGUAGUUGGAUUUCUGUCAAGGACAACUGGUCCGCCCCUCGGGUGAGCACAUAGUUUGGUCUUGGCAUCUUGUUGGAAACUGUUGCUGCACUUGGUUGUGUGGCGCAGUGUCCAGCACUUUCACUUUGAGGAAAUUGGAGUGUUUCAAGCAGGCACAUGCCUUUGGACACAGUAGCAUGGAAUAAUUAGAUUGGGCUUUUACUCCAACUUGUCGGUUUCUGGAGCUGAGGUGAGAAUUAAUGGGGAUUGUUGGGGGCAUCCGAAUUUAGCCGUCAGAGGUGAAAUUCUUGGAUCUGCUAAAGACGGACAACUGCGAAAGCGUUUGCCCAGGAUGUUUUCAUUGA